GGUGUAGGCGGCUUGUUAAGUCGGAUGUGAAAUCUCCCGGCCUAAACUGGGAGGGGUCAUUCGAUACUGGCAGGCUGGAGUGCAGCAGAGGAAAGCGGAAUUCCCGGUGUAGUGGUGAAAUGCGUAGAUAUCGGGAGGAACACUAGUGGCGAAGGCGGCUUUCUGGGCUGUUACUGACGCUGAGGUCCGAAGGCGUGGGGAGCAAACAGGAUCAGAUACCCUGGUAGUCCACGCAGUAAACUAUGGACACUAGGUAUGGGGAGUAUCGACCCUCUCCGUGCCGAAGCUAACGCUUUAAGUGUCCCGCCUGGGGAGUACGGUCGCAAGACUAAA
rnacentral:rRNA from 1 species